CCUACGGGAGGCAGCAGUGGGGAAUCUUGCGCAAUGGGCGAGGAGCCUGACGGAGCAACGCCGCGUGGGGGAUGACGCCCUUCGGGGUGUAAACCUCUUUUCUGGGGGAAGAAGGGGGAGCAAUCCUCUUGACGGUACCCGAGGAAGAAGGACCGGCUAACUCCGUGCCAGCAGCCGGGUAAU
rnacentral:rRNA from 1 species